AGUGAACGCUGGCGGUAGGCCUAACACAUGCAAGUCGAACGGCAGCACAGUAAGAGCUUGCUCUUACGGGUGGCGAGUGGCGGACGGGUGAGGAAUACAUCGGAAUCUACUUUUUCGUGGGGGCUAACGUAGGGAAACUUACGCUAAUACCGCAUAUGACCUACGGGUGAAAGCAGGGGAUCUUCUGACCUUUCGCUAUUGAAUGAGCCGAUGUCGGAUUAGCUAGUUGGCGGGGUAAAGGCCCACCAAGGCGACGAUCCGUAGCGGGUCUGAGAGCAUGUUCAGCCACACUGGAACUGAGAAACGGUCCAGACUCCGACGGGAGGCAGCAGUGGGGAAUAUUGGGCGAUGGGCGAAAGCCUGAUCCAGCCAUACCGCGUGGGUGAAGAAGGCCUUCGGGUUGUAAAGCCCUUUUGUUGGGAAAGAAAAGCAGCAGGUUAAUACCCCGCUGUUCUGACGGUACCCAAAGAAUAAGCACCGGCUAACUUCGUG
rnacentral:rRNA from 1 species